rnacentral:rRNA from 1 species
GAAUAGCCCGAAGAAAUUCGGAUUAAUGCCCCAUAUGCUCGCACAAUCGCAUGAUUGAGCGAGGAAAGCUCCGGCGGUAAAAGAUGGGCAUGCGUCCUAUUAGCUUGUUGGUGAGGUAAUGGCUCACCAAGGCUACGAUAGGUAGGGGACCUGAGAGGGUGAACCCCCACACUGGUACUGAGACACGGACCACACUCCUACGGGAGGCAGCAGUGAGGAAUAUUGGGCAAUGGAGGAAACUCUGACCCAGCCAUGCCGCGUGCAGGAAGACGGCCCUCUGGGUUGUAAACUGCUUUUAUAUGGGAAUAAACCCUUCCACGUGUGGAAGGCUGAAGGUACCAUACUUAAUUAGAUGAUACGCGAGGAACGUUACCAGGGUUUAAAUGGGAAUUGACAGAUGCCGAAAGGUGUCGUUCUUCGGACAAUUUUCAAGGUGAUGCAUGGUUGUCGUCAGCUCGUGCCGUGAGGUGUUGGGUUAAGUCCCGCAACGAGCGCAACCCGUACUGUUAGUUUCCAGCGGAUAA